CACCAGCACAAGCACCAGACGAUGCUGAUCCAGGUGAAAGCCCCAGUGCAGCAGCAACAGCACAUGAUGGAGACGAUGAUGAGGAGGAGACCAUCUCUCUGGAUUCCAGAAGGCAUGAGGACCCAGAUGCUAUACAGUGGGG